GAUGAACGCUGGCAGCGUGCCUAAUACAUGCAAGUCGAGCGAACGGACGAGGAGCUUGCUUCUCUGAUGUUAGCGGCGGACGGGUGAGUAACACGUGGAUAACCUACCUAUAAGACUGGGAUAACUUCGGGAAACCGGAGCUAAUACCGGAUAAUAUUUUGAACCGCAUGGUUCAAAAGUGAAAGACGGUCUUGCUGUCACUUAUAGAUGGAUCCGCGCUGCAUUAGCUAGUUGGUAAGGUAACGGCUUACCAAGGCAACGAUGCAUAGCCGACCUGAGAGGGUGAUCGGCCACACUGGAACUGAGACACGGUCCAGACUCCUACGGGAGGCAGCAGUAGGGAAUCUUCCGCAAUGGGCGAAAGCCUGACGGAGCAACGCCGCGUGAGUGAUGAAGGUCUUCGGAUCGUAAAACUCUGUUAUUAGGGAAGAACAUAUGUGUAAGUAACUGUGCACAUCUUGACGGUACCUAAUCAGAAAGCCACGGCUAGCUACGUG
rnacentral:rRNA from 1 species